rnacentral:rRNA from 1 species
CGGUGUUUAACUGGCGUGAUGUGGGACGUCCUACCGGUGGGCUUAGCCUCGCGAGGGGCGGCCCAACUAAUAUCCCGUCGCGGUGCUCUUUACUGAGUGUCGAGUCGGGCCGGUACGUUUACUUUGAACAAAUUAGAGUGCUUAAAGCAGGCUAUCCUCGCCUGAAUACUGCGUGCAUGGAAUAAUGGAAUAGGACCUCGGUUCUAUUUUGUUGGUUUUCGGAACCCCGAGGUAAUGAUUAAUAGGGACAGAUGGGGGCAUUCGUAUUGCGACGUUAGAGGUGAAAUUCUUGGAUCGUCGCAAGACGGACAGAAGCGAAAGCAUUUGCCAAAAAUGUUUUCAUUAAUCAGGAACGAAAGUUAGAGGUUCGAAGGCGAUCAGAUACCGCCCUAGUUCUAACCAUAAACGAUGCCAGCUAGCGAUCCGCCGAAGUUCCUCCGAUGACUCGGCGGGCAGCUUCCGGGAAACCAAAGCUUUUGGGUUCCGGGGGAAGUAUGGUUGCAAAGCUGAAACUUAAAGGAAUUGACGGAAGGGCACCACCAGGAGUGGAGCCUGCGGCUUAAUUUGACUCAACACGGGAAACCUCACCAGGCCCAGACACCGGAAGGAUUGACAGAUUGAUAGCUCUUUCUUGAUUCGGUGGGUGGUGGUGCAUGGGCCGUUCUUAGUUGGUGGAGCGAUUUGUCUGGUUAAUUCCGAUAACGAACGAGACUCUAGCCUGCUAAAUAGGCGUACCUUAUGGUAUCGCGAAGGCCCCCGGCUUCGGCCGGUGGGUUUUUACUACCAACGUACAAACAAAUCUUCUUAGAGGGACAGGCGG